UUAGGUAUAGUUACAUUUAAAGGUAAAACUGUUUUUUCCUCAAUAUUAUCCAAUAGCAAUAUCGAUAAGGGGUAAGCAACAUAGUUGUCUUAGACAAAACUAAUAAAAUAUUAAGUUUAUUCUUUGUCUGGCAGGUCGCUGUACAAAUAUUGAAUCCAUCGUUAAAAGUCCGCUCUUGAGUUACAAGUUUGAAGUGUAGAUAUGAACCUUUUUCACGCUACUAUGCGUUGGUUCGUCUUUAAAGAGUCUGCUAGAGUUGUUCGCGAUGGAACUAAAACUUCCUGUAGGUAGCAUUAAUAUCCGUAUUCCGUAGUACUACCAUUUAUCGCUCCAUAUAUUAAAUCAAAUCCUUUCUUAGGAUACUGGUUUAACCUGGGGUUUGUGUUGGUUUGGUGUGUUAGUGAAUCUGUCCGUUUCCGUUGCCGCCGGAUAUCAAGUGAGCUCUAUCAAUGCCCCAGCAAAACUUAUCCAAUCCUGGCUUCGCACCGUUUUCCUCGUUCGUUAUCGAGUGCAGCUUACAGAUAGUGCUUUACAGGUGCUUUGGUCCAUUGUAGUGUCCACCGUUUUGCUUGGUGGAAUCGUAACUUCCCAUUUCAGUGGUAUUAUUUCCACCACCUAUGGAAG